rnacentral:rRNA from 1 species
GAGUUUGAUCUUGGCUCAGAUUGAACGCUGGCGGCAUGCCUUACACAUGCAAGUCGAACGGCAGCAUGAUCUAGCUUGCUAGAUUGAUGGCGAGUGGCGAACGGGUGAGUAAUACAUCGGAACGUGCCCUGUAGUGGGGGAUAACUAGUCGAAAGAUUAGCUAAUACCGCAUACGACCUGAGGGUGAAAGUGGGGGACCGCAAGGCCUCAUGCUAUAGGAGCGGCCGAUGUCUGAUUAGCUAGUUGGUGGGGUAAAGGCCCACCAAGGCGACGAUCAGUAGCUGGUCUGAGAGGACGAUCAGCCACACUGGGACUGAGACACGGCCCAGACUCCUACGGGAGGCAGCAGUGGGGAAUUUUGGACAAUGGGCGAAAGCCUGAUCCAGCAAUGCCGCGUGUGAAGAAGGCCU